rnacentral:misc_RNA from 1 species
UCCCAACCAUGUCUCAGGAUGAUGAGCUAUAUUUCUAGCGAAGGUUAACGCUUCAUUAGUUACUCCAACAGCAUCAUAAACACUAUCCUCCACUUCCUCAUAAUUCGAAUAUCCUAGAUAAUCCCCCAUAUAUUCCUUCUCUCGUUCACCACAUAAAUUAGAUCGAUCUACCGACUCUAUCCGGUUCAGAUCCAAUUUCACUCUCUGAACAACCGGCACCGGCGGAGGAGGAGGAUCUUUACCGAUGGAAACAACAAGACAACCCUCAACUCAAUUGCAG